rnacentral:rRNA from 1 species
ACCAUGAGAGUUGGGAAUACCCGAAGCCUGUGAGCUAACCGCAAGGGAGCAGCAGUCGAAGGUAGAAUCAAUGAUUGGGUGAAGUCGUAACAAGGUAUC